AGAAGAUCUCAAACUGCUGUUGGUGCUAUUGGUUGUCAUUUGUUCAGAAAUCAUACAUUGGUCUCCCAUCCAUGAGGCAAGCCAAGGCACUUGUAUGGCCGGGAAAACAGAGCCGGGACCACGAAACACACAUCUGCUGGACUUCCUGCCUUUGACCCUGCUCCAACAUUCAUGGCGUUGUCACACUUUAUUAACUUAUAAAAGCUAACUAACUACUAAGGAAAUUCAAUGCCACCCUAAGAAAAGCAAAUUGCCAGUUAUUUUGACAUCAGAAGUUGUUUGAAAGUUCUGUGAAAGGAAAGCCCAACUGUGAUCUUAGGGAAAUUAAUUUUAAGAAACAUAAUUUUCAAAGGUGAUAAUUAUUUUUCAAGAAUAUUGCUGACCAUUGACAUCUGAAAUAGGCUUUUGGGUUUUUUUUUUUCGUGUUUUGUCUUUCACAAAGAUUAUUUUGACAUUUUUGCUUCUGGGAAUUUCUUUCUUGGCAACACAUAUAAAAGUAUUAAACUGGAUGAAGUUGACAUUCUCAGCAUUUGAAGUUUGUCUUUGAUUCCUUCAAAAAAGAGAGCAAAUGACAUAAAAGGGAAGAGGAAGGCCAUUCAACAUCAUUAAAACUUCUUUGAAAGUUUAAUAGGCUUGUGCUAUGGAAAACUAAAAUGAAACAAAAGCAUUUUUCAAAAUGAUGGAAUUUGGGGAUCUCCACUCAACUUUCCCUAAUCUCUCCUUUGCAGAGAUGUAGGGGCUGAAGACAUGCAGGUUGCUCCCCCAGGACACGGGCUGGUUAGUAGCAAAGGGGGUUUUAGAGGCAG
rnacentral:lncRNA from 1 species